AUUGAACGCUGGCGGCAGGCCUAACACAUGCAAGUCGAACGAGUGGCGGACGUGUGAGUAAUGUCUGGGAAACUGCCCGAUGGAGGGGGAUAACUACUGUAAACGGUAGCUAAUACCACAUACCAUCGGAUGUGCACAGAUGGGAGUAGCUAGUAGGUGGGGUAACGGCUCACCUAGGCGACGAUCCCUAGCUGGUCUGAGAGGAUGACCAGCAACACUGGAACUGAGACACGGUCCAGACGCCUACGGGAGGCAGCAGUGGGGAAUAUUGCACAAGGGGCGCAAGCCUGAUGCAGCCAGGCCGCGGGUAUGAAGAAGGCCUUCGGGUUGUAAAGUACUUUCAGCGAGGAGGCGUUACUCGCAGAAGAAGCACCGGCUAACUCCGUGCCAGCAGCCGCGGUAAUUC
rnacentral:rRNA from 1 species